rnacentral:lncRNA from 1 species
UACUGAAGCUCAUUUGGCACGUGUUUCUUUCUGCGCCUUAAUAAAUGAAUUUCUUGUCAAGAAAAAAAGGGACAAAAGCUGCUGUUUUGAGGGGUGUCCGAGCUUAGGAUAAGUGAAAGCAAAAGGAGCUAGAAGGGGCAUAUUCCAGGUGAAUCGUAAGCUUUAAUCCACGAUCAAACGUUAAGAUUUAACUUAGGCUUGUAAAACCGUCCGUCAUGAAACCCGCAAUAUUAAGCAGUUUCAUCGUUAUAACACAAACAUUGUUGAAUCAUGUUGUUACUGCUGGUAAGAAAUUUAACAUUUAAAAAUG